CUCCUCUGGCCUGCUUCCAGGGCCCUACCAGAACUCACCCAGCCGGCUUUCCUACCCAGACCACAGAGAGGAUGUGCCAACAACAAGAACAUCUGUAAGGGUGAAGGGGAAGGCAGGUGUCCUGACUGCUCUACUUCCCUUCCAACUCCCUGCUUAUGGCCUGGGAAAGCAGCAGAGGAUGACUGAGUCCUCAGGACCCUGCACUCACGUGGAAGACUCAUAGACGCUCUGAGCUCUGCUCAGGCCAUUACAGCCAUUUGGGGAAGGAACCAGCAGACGAAGGUUUUUCUCUCCAUUUCUCCUCUCUCUCAUUUUCUCAUCAACCUGGAUGACUUCAUUUAAAAACUACGAGUUA